rnacentral:lncRNA from 1 species
UUUGGUUUGGAUUUGGUUUAGGGUUUAGAGUUUGGUUAGGAUUUGGUUUAGGGUUUAGAAUUUGGUUAGGAUUUGAUUUAGGAUUUAGGAUUUGAUUUAGGAUUUGAUUAGGGUUUGAUUUAGAAUUUGGUUAAAAAUUGAUUUAAGGUUUAGGAUUUGGUUUAGGAUUUGGUUAGGGUUAGAUUUAAGAUUUGGUUAGGAUUUGGUUUAGGAUUUAGGGUUUGAUUUAAGAUUUAGGAUUUACUUUAGGAUUUAGAGUUUGGUUAAGGAUUUAAGGUUUAAUUAGGGUUUGAUUUAAGAUUUAGGAUUUGAUUUAGGAUUUAGGAUUUUAUUAGAGUUUAUUUAGGAUUUAAGAUUUAAUUAAUUUUGGCCUAAAGUUUGAAUGAAGUCUAAUAGGAUUUUAACUAGGAUUAAAUUAAGAUUGAAUUGAGAUGUAUUUGAGAUAUAUUUGUGAUCAUUCUAAUAUUUCUUUAAGAUUUCUUAUUGUUUCAUUGAAAUUUUUUUGAGGUUUCUUUGAAUUUGAUUAAAGCUUGGUGAGAAUUAUUAUGGUCUAAUUAGAGUUUAGUUAAUAUUCUAUUAGAGUUAGGAUUUUGUUGUUGCAAUUUCUAUUCUACCUUCUA